CUCCGUAGCUUGGAGGAAAGAAGCACCAGUCUAGCAAAUUGGGAGUAGUGGGUUCGAUUCUCACCGGAG
rnacentral:tRNA from 1 species